CACCAUACUCUCUGCAACCAAACCACAUCAACUCUGGGCUCGAGCUCAGGCGACAUCUUGAAAUUAGCUUGUAUAUGUUGCUUGUGAGCUCCUCCUGGCUUCACAAUCCUUCUGGACACAGAAUGGAUGGCAAGAAGGCUCUGCUGCUUCCUAGGUGUUGGUUGACAUGAGCUGUAUCACCUGCCUGAACGGGUUGCUCAGAGCAUCUACGUGGGGAUGAUUCAUCCCACAAUAAAGCCCCUCUCCUGUUGCUCUCCUGCCAGUGUGAUUAGCAAUGGAGGUUUUAGGUGCUCAUAUUUACAAAAGGAAGUCUCUAUAUUCUGUGUAGAAGAAACUCAAAAAGUUCUCUAAAUGAAUGCAUAUCAAAAAUAAGUGAAGGUAUUGGAGAGAAUGAACAUGCACAGCUUCCGGAAGACUAUUUGCACCCUAGGAAAGAGUAAGACCACAGGCCCUGGUAUAAGUGUGUACCAUCAAGGUCAGUAUGCCUAGGGCUAAGCAAGUGAGCUGAAAUUAAUCAAGAGAGGAGGUGAGUGGGUACCAGGAUGGAGUGCCUACCAUCAGUUAGCACUCCUUAUGAGAGUAGGAGACACCGGGGAGGAUUUGCCUGGGAGCAAUGGGGUCUGCUUUGCCAUUCACAGGACCCACCUUGCCUGCAGCUUUGAUAAAAGAUGCUAAGAGGCCAAGAAUUCAAGUGUAGGGGUUACGGAAAUGAGCCUUGAUAGUUUUUAUGGGAGGUGUCAGGGACAGCAGAACAGUGGGUCAGAAGUUGAGUAUACUUUGAGUCCAGCAUUGAAAUGUUUGCUGAAAGAUUGGGUAUAUGUAAGGAAGAGAGGGAACUAGAGGUAACUGGGAAUUCAUGCCUAGACAGGUUGCAAGGUAGAAUAUAUAGAAAGCAAAUGAUAUGUCCCAGUGUGAUAUUUACUGAUGGCUCAUGAUAAGGUGUAGAAUAAUUGAUUUCAUUGGCUUUAGUGGGAUUCUGAAGGUUUUAAAUGUCAGAGACUCUGCUUUGUCUCAUGUACUUUCUCCUAAUUGAAGUUUCUCUUCUCUCUCCCAGUGGAGAAACAUCUAUUAUUUUCUGAAGCAUUUAUUCUUUGCUGUGGUGGAUUAUAGCUGCCUCCUCGUUAUGUUGUUUAAUUGGACUAUUGGCUACAAUUAUAAACCUAUUGAGUCAUAUACAUUUACUUGUCUGGAGAAACGAGGCUUUAAUGUUGUAAUGUAACAGAGUAGAAUGGAUUGUAUUCUCCACAUUUAGUAAUUUAUUCUUAUCACUAACGUAUUAUGGAGAAAAUACGUUUUCUUUAAAAAAUAAUAGUCAUUUGUUGCAUUGAGAAAACAUGCUGAAGGAUGAUGGGACUGUAGUCUGGUGAAAAUUUAAAAUUUUUAAAAGCAGGGAAGGGUGUGACUGGUCAUUACAGGGCCGUCAGUAAUUAAUCAGGCACAUUCUUUUUUUUUCUUUUUUCUUUUUUUAUUAUGUAUUUUCCUCAAUUACAUUUCCAAUGCUAUCCCAAAAGUCCCCCACACCCUCACCCCCCCCACUCCCCUACCCACCAAUUCCCAUUUUUUGGCCCUGGUGUUCCCCUGUACUGGGGCAUAUAAAGUUUGCCUGUCCAAUGGGCCUCUCUUUCCAGUGAUGGCCGACUAGGCCAUCUUUUGAUACAUAUGCAGCUAGAGUCAAGAGCUCCGGGGUACUGGUUAGUAACAAUUCAAUCGGGCACAUUCUUACUCUUCAGGGCUAAGGAGGAGGCACUGAAGUGGGAGUCACUGUUCUGAACAGUCUAAAGUUUCAGUGACUUUAGAAUUAUAAUGGUGACUGGGAUCUUAUUUCUGAAAUUUUGUGGUUUUAGAAGAUUAAGUGUUUCGUUUAAUACACUGAAUUGUUAAUCAUCCAUGAUUAUAAGAGUAUGAUAAUGCAAAUUGACUUCUGAACUCCAUGGUAUUAACACUGAUGUCCAGUGGAGAUCAAGUCUUUAAUCAUUGCUAUGACAAAAUAGUGUAUGUCACCAGAGACACUGGGAAAUAAAAUUAAGGUAAGACAGUUACAUAACAUUAAUGGUGGUAGAUUCUCCAGACAAGAAACAACAAAUUAGAGGUUAAAUGGAUGGAUGAAUGCUGCAGAAGCACAUAAGGACCUGAGUUUUGUCCCUGAGCCCCUACAUAAAAAUCCACACACAGUGAUGCACCCUGCAAGCCAAGCCCUAGAGAAGUGGGGAGAGGGGAAAUUCUAGAGCUUGCUCCAUACCUAGUCUUGUUACAUAGGGAAGGUCCAGGUUCAAUGAAAGACUGUGCCCAAAAAAAUACAGUCAUUGAGGAAGACAUCUGACAUUGACCUCUGGCCUCCACACCUCCAUGCACAUCUGCACAUUUACAUGUACACACAUACACAUGCAUGUGCCACUUAUGUAUGUCCUCAAGGUAGAAAAUAACAACAUUUUAUAUGAUAAUAUAAGCUUUUCUGAUUAUGCAAUAAAAUAGUUUAGCCAAAUAAACACAACAAAUUAGAUUAAUUCAUUGAGUAAUUAUGAGACAACAUAUACUAAUUCUAUACAUAGUAUCAUUGAGAGCAGCUCAUUCUACUGCAUUUUGGCAUACUCAGAUCUUGAACCUUCUUCUCUGGUUCCUCCUUAUGUUUCCCAUCUCUGCCCACCUCUCCUGACUUCCCCAGGCCUCUGCCCACCUUUCCUGACUUCUCUAGGCCUCUAGUCUCCUAUCAUCAUUUUACAUUCUUGCAACCCGAUUUUCACAUAAAACUCCUCUGUAAAAUCCACCUGUAACUUUUCACCAGCUCUGGGGCAUUCUUUUUUCUAUCCUCAUGUCAGUCUUUGACCCAGGCAGUCACCGCUCUCAAGGAACAAGUGUCCAUGAAGAAGCAGCCUGAGCUGUUAGGCAUCUGCCUUUGCUCAAGACAUCCUCUGCCUGUAUUGUAUAUGGGAAUUUCCACUUUCAUUUAUGUCGCUUGUACUCCAUGAAAAUGUGCAGCCCUGGCAGUUACCCUGGAUGGUUUUGCUGUCGUGAUUAAAACACAGAUGGAGCUCAUCCCUUCCCUGGGUGUUUGAUUGGCAGACUCUCUGUGAUCAGCACUCUUCUCUGGUGAACACAUCAGCGCCAUCUGCCUUCUGUCUGCCUGGAGAGACUUGCCACAGUAGAGCUUCCUCAGCCUCACAUGAACCGCUGCAAAGGAUGUGCGCUCCUUUUGCUGAAGCCGUCAAAUAAAAAAGCUUUUUCAUGAAAAGCUAAAUAGAAUACAUGAAGAUUUUCACGACAGUAGGCUUCCGGAUUAAUGAAAUAUUCAUUUAAAUUGGACUUGGAGGAUAUGUCACUUCUUUUCUUUGAUUAAAAUAUUUAGAGCAUAACACAAAAUCACUGUGUCUUGAAAAAGCCAAACUUCAAGGAAAUUCAGCUGAUGGGGCAUCUUGUUUUCAGUGAGGUUGUUAAAGAUGAUUUUUCCAACCAGGGUCAGGUGCUUGGAACCGUUAGGUGAAUGCUAGGCAUGGUGGGAGUCCUCUUGUGUGCUUAAGAGUUUAAGAGAUCGAACCCAAUAGAUAGUAAGCUUCUUUCAAAGAGAAUGCUAAUUUUAAUGUUUUUAUGACUUAAAUAGAUUGUAAUAAGUUAUUACUUCCUAAUUUAGAUGUUGGUAUGACGACUGGGCAGACGCAUGUUCUUGUUCCACAUCAACAUUGUAUGACUGCAGAGUGUAGCCUGAGUGCUUAGGAAAGGGUACUUUUACGAUAUUGGAAGACUGGACAUCGUGACAUUAGGAGGAGGGAGGGGGUUACUGGGCUGUUCUAAAAUUAGCAAUGUGAAGAGCUGGUUCAAACUUAAUUGCCUAGGUGUGGAAGAAAUAUACUUGUAUUGUGCUUAAUAAUGUGAAUUAUCUGUAUCAUUAAAUAACAGGAAACCCGUUUGAGUUUCUUCUUCCUGUCCAAAUAAAUAAAUAAAUAAAUAAAUAAAUAUAAUUAACACAGUGAAAA
rnacentral:lncRNA from 1 species